rnacentral:lncRNA from 1 species
ACUUUUGAUACACUACUAUUCUAUUUCAUCUUCUUGUUUCCUAACAUAGGAUUUCUCAACUAGGGAUUCUUGGUUCAUUUGAUAUCAUUGAAAACAUUUGCUUUGUAUGUCAAGUGUGUUUUGACACCGGGAUUUUCAUUGUUACGCUUUUUCUUAAAAUGGGGCAUGCAGAGCUGCAACUUUUGUUUUAUAAAUGUGUCAUGCCUUAUCCUUUUUCAUCAAGGUUGAUCUACCUAAAUAUUAUACAUGUUGCUCCUAGAAUUUGAGAAAUUUUUCACCUGGUAAGCUUUCAUUUUUCUAAGUAUCUCUUUUCUCAUGUGAAAGUGCCCAAGUAAUCCCAAACAUUUAUUUUGUCAAUUUUAUCUUAGUGUGUUUUAAGUAUUGGUUGCAUCACCUGCUCAGAAUUCUUGACAGAUUUUAUUCUUACACAGUUUUCAUCUGCAUAUGUUUGUGCUAUAUCCAGAAGUUGAAAGAAAAAGUUAGGCACAAUUUUAUUGUACAAAUUUGUCGCAUAUCUAUUUUGAUUUGCACAUAAAAGAAUAAUUCAAUUAAAUCUGAAGCAUCUCCAUUAUGUUAUUGAAAAUUAAAUUUUUUUGAAUUUUGUUCAGAAUCAAGUUAUUUAGAAGAUAGCAAAGACAUAAAGGUAGUUGCCCAAAUAAGUACUAGCAACUUUGAGAAAUUAUUUUUACUUGCCUCAUAGAAUUGAUCCUUUGAAGACGUACAACUGAAUUUUAUUCAAAGGAAAUUAGUAGUCUGAUGUAAUUUAUCUCUACAAGAUUUUACUUUUAAUAAUUGAUUCUAUCAUCUAAUAAUCUAAUUGAGCUUAUGAGCAGGUUUAAUAAAUGUGGCUCUAAGCUAUUAUUAAGUAUUAUGCACUUUUCGCAGCUAGCAGCAGGAUCACAGGCGACGUUCGCUCUGCACUAGAAAUAUGUCAACAAGCCUCGAUACUUGGGAUUAUCAAGCUAAAAUUGCUAUUAUCUCUCAAUUUUUUUGCAUCAAGUAUUAAGAGCUAAGCCUCUAAUAUAAAAGUGUUAGGUUUAAUAAGGUAUAUGAACAACUUCAUUUAUAAUGUGCCUCUCCCUUUAGAAUUGGUUAUUUGUUUAAUGUCAUCAUUGGUUAUGCUUUCAGGUAAAAUUGAGAACUUAGUGGAUCCCCUUAUGUACUUCACUUGGGAUUGUAUAGCCUUGCAGGAAUCUGUAAGUCACAUAUUUACAAUUUAGUAUGAUAGACUAAGGUGAUACAUUAGUAAUGGUUCUUAUGUUUAGAUAAUUAUUUAUGCUAUUUCUGCUGGACUUACUAAUGUUUUUUUAUUUUUGUUUUUGUUUUUGAUUUUGUUUUUCAUCUCCUUCACUAGCCGAGGAGGGUCGAUUGGAAACAGCCUCUCUACCCUUUCGGGUAGGGGUAAGGCUCGUCUACAUAUUACCCUCCCCAGACCCCACCUUGUAGUACAUUACUGGGUAGUAGUUGUUGUUGUUGUUAGACUAAGGUGAUACCUUGGGUAAAGAAUACUGAGUGUUAUGACUUUAAAUACUAGAUUGAAAAUUCUUUUGAUUAAUGUCACUUGGACUCUAAAUUCAACAUUCUUUUUUCCAUGUUAAGUUUAUAACCUAAAUGAAAAACCAUGAAUUGUUACAAUUAAAAGCAGGGAGGUCAAUUUAAGCUUCCAAUUUUCUUUUAAUCUUUAUAAUGCCAGAUGAUUGGACAAGGAAAUGAAAACGUACUUCUUCAAGACUUUGUUUUUGCUUGAUUUUAGCUACGGGUGUCAAAUGGGCAGGUUGGACAGAUUUUGGGCGGGUCAAAGUGGGUUUAGUCAAUAAUUGGGCGGGUCAACCAAAAGCUACUUGGCUAGGAUGAGUUAGGUCAAGAUGAGUUAAAAUUUAGGUCAUAACCCAACAUCAGCUCUUAUUAAACUUUAAUUAAUAUAUAUUAUUUUCUUAUAAAUUGUACAACUACUAUAUAAGACUUUUUUUCUUUUGUUAGGGCAUAUUUAAAAUAUUAAAUAAAAAAAUAUUUUGACAAACUCACUCAUGGAUCAAUUAGGGCUAAAAAUUAACCAAACUUUAAAUGAGUUGAGAUAUAUUGAGUCAAGAUAUGCUAAGUUCAAUAAAUGUGGGUCAAUAACAACCUCAAUCUUGGGCGGAUUGGACAGGUCAUUUGGACUUAGGCCAAAUUUGACGGCCAUAAUUUUAGGUUUAUUUCCUUACUCCCUCCUAAUGUUUGGUUUGGUUAUUUCAUUUGGAUAGAAUCAGUAAAAAAAAAGAAUUUAUGUUGUGAUUAAGAUAUUCAUAAUACACAUCCGGACAUCACAGAGAACUCGAAACCCUUGGAAGACCUAUAUUUCAGGGGAAAAGCAUAAUUCACAGAUCCUAAUCUCUUAAUCCAGAGAUGUAAAUAGUUUUCAAAGAGGGACACACCCAGGUGUCAGGUGAUGGUUAUUCAGAAUCUGGCAAAGAUAGUAGCUGUGGACGUUUAAUUAUUGCACAGUAGCUUUACAAUGCUCGUGAAGUUUUAGUAUCUGACUAUCUGCAUGUAAAUUGGCAUUUCAUGGAUUGGUUGUGUUACCCAACGGGUAUUGGAAGAUCAAGAAAAAUGUAAGUCUGAUAUAUCUCUUCGUUCAUUCUACUUUUUUCUUUUCGUUUUUGCUGGUCUUUACUUCUUCUUAUUUUGUUUGUUAUACAUAUAAGUGGAUAAAGUGUCAUUAAAAAAGGAAAAAAAUUGCACCUGCAAUGCUUGAGAUUUAUUUAAUGAAAUUUUGGAUAAUAUGACUGGCCUUAUAUGCCUUUGGAUGUUGAAAAUUUUGUUUCCAACUAACUGAUUCCAUUUUCAAAAAAAGAAGAUGACUUUCAGAAAAUUUUAGUAUGUAUAGAAACAAACCAUACUAAGCAGAAUGGUGUAAAUCAUUAGUGAUCAGAACAUAACACAGAGAUAAAGUUAGCGUUGUGCCAAAGAAUUUCAACUAUUCUAGAAGAAUUAUCUGGUUAGAUAUGAUCUUUGAAUAAAUAUAUUUAUCAUUCAUAGUUAGGGACAGAGAAAUUAACAUGUACACAGGGCAGUGCAAAGCUACAUAGCUCCAAGGCAUGACACCCCUUUGUAGAAAAAUUAUAUUGUUUAGAUAGGUAAAAUUAGUUCUUAUGUAUAUGUAUACUAUGUGUUGAGUCCCCCUAAAUUUUUUCAUACAUUCUCCUCUUUAAAUUUUGACACAUCUUAAUAAAAUUCCAGGUUUGCUACUGGUACUGGGUAGGGAUGUAUUUACAUGGGACCUUAAAAAAAUGAUCAAGCCUGUGACGACCCAGAGGGUCAUCACUGUAGUUCUCCCUUUCUUUGUGUUUUUGAGGCCUUGAAAAUCUCUUAUUGGGUUACCUCGAUUUGCGUGCGCAGUCCGGACGCGAAGCCGGAAGAUUUUUAUGUGAAAAUAUUUGAAUUCUGUGUUUAAAACUAUGAAUUUUGAUACCAAUAUUGUUAUGGUUGUCACAUCACGGAUCCGAACCCGUGAUGUGACGAUCCCGGAGGGUCCGUAAUGAAAUUUGGGACCCGGGCGUAUUACCGGAAUCUAAAUCCGAGGUCCCAAGCUCGAGUUCGGAGCUUUAUUGUGAAAUUGUUUUAUGAAUAUGCUUAAGGAAAAAUGAAAACGAAAUUAUAAAAAAUAAUGGUAUCAGGCUCAUAUUUUUGUUCCGACGCCCGGUGCCAGUCCUAUAUGGAGUUCAGCACUAUCUGUAAAGUUUGGUUGAAAAUGGACGUCGUUUGACGUGUUUCGGACUAAAAGGGGAAAGUUUGAAAAUUUUGAACUUAGAAAUGAAAAUCAUGAGUUUUAGGGGUUGAUUUAGUGAUUUUGAUGUUAUAUUGCCGAUUUGAUCACACGAGCAAGUUCGUAAGAUGUUAUUGAGUUAGCGUCUGUGUUUGGUUGGGAGAUCCGAGGGCUCGGGAGUGAUUCAGAGAUGGUUCGGGGUGGUUUUACACUUGAAAUCAUAGCAGGUUUCUGCAUUUCUGCACAGUCUUUUGUUCAUCGCGAACACGGCCUUAAUCUCGCAUUUGCGGGCCCUGUUCUUUCCCUCUUUCGCGAUCGCGUGACUCCUCCCGCGUUCACUUUCCCUCCUUUACGCGUUCGCGUAGUUAAGUUUCCCUCCUUUACGCGUUCGCGUACUAGCCUUCGCGUCCGCGCAAGCCAACCCAGUACCCCUAACUUCCUUCUUCGCGAUCGCGUCAAACCAAUCGCGAACACGAUGGUCCCAGUCAUUCCUUCAUCGCGAACGCGUCAGGUCGCGAACGCAAUGCGCAAAUUCGCGCAGUGAUUUCUAAAUUCCAGAACACUCUUCAUAACGGGAAAUUUCUCAUUUUUCUCACGAACCCUCUCUCUAAAACCCCACAUUGACGAACUCCAAGUUUCCAAAUUCCUACCUCAUCUAAUCAUCAUUCCUUCAUUAAAUCAUCAAACUUCUAGCCCUAAAACAUGAAAUUUAGGUAGAAUUUAAGGGUUUUUGGGGUUAACUAGGGUUUAUGGGAUUUUGGGUAUUUCAACCUCGAUUUGAGGUCGAAUUUAAAAUCUAUUUAUAUAUUUGGACUCUUGGGGAUAUGGGGGAUUGGGUUUUUGUCCGAGCCUCGAGUUUAGGCCACGUGGGCGCGGUGUCGGAUUUUAGCAUUUUUGGAAGUAAGCUAGAAAAUGCAUUUCUAGGCUAUGAGAUUGUGUUUAUGGAUUCUUAUUGAUAAUAUUGAAUCGAAUUAUGUUAGGUAUCGUUGGUUCAGAGUCGAAUUCUCGAGGAAAGGCGAUUGUUGAGCUUUGAGUUGCUAUUUUUGGCUUCGAGGUAAGUGCUCGAUUUAACUUUGUCUUGAGAGAAUAGGAUUCGAUUGUUAUUUUAUUAUGUGCUAUGUGGGGUCGGUGUAUAGGUGUUAGGACCCUAACUUUGAAAGUCGGCGAAGGACGGGCGGCAGCAUGGUACGGCAUGCG